rnacentral:rRNA from 1 species
CUGGAUGAACGCUAGCCACAGGCUUAACACAUGCAAGUCGAGGGGCAGCAUGGUCUUAGCUUGCUAAGGCCGAUGGCGACCGGCGCACGGGUGAGUAACGCGUAUCCAACCUGCCUUACACUCUUGGACAGCCUUCUGAAAGGGAGAUUAAUACAAGAUGUUAUCAUGAGUAAGCAUUUUCGCAUGAUUAAAGGUUUACCGGUGUAAGAUGGGGAUGCGUUCCAUUAGAUAGUAGGCGGGGUAACGGCCCACCUAGUCUUCGAUGGAUAGGGGUUCUGAGAGGAAGGUCCCCCACAUUGGAACUGAGACACGGUCCAAACUCCUACGGGAGGCAGCAGUGAGGAAUAUUGGUCAAUGGACGAGAGUCUGAACCAGCCAAGUAGCGUGAAGGAUGAAGGUUCUAUGGAUUGUAAACUUCUUUUAUACGGGAAUAAACGGAUCCACGUGUGGAUUUUUGCAUGUACCGUAUGAAUAAGGAUCGGCUAACUCCGUGCCAGCAGCCGCGGUAAUACGGAGGAUCCGAGCGUUAUCCGGAUUUAUUGGGUUUAAAGGGAGCGUAGAUGGGUUGUUAAGUCAGUUGUGAAAGUUUGCGGCUCAACCGUAAAAUUGCAAUUGAUACUGGCAGUCUUGAGUACAGUUGAGGUAGGCGGAAUUCGUGGUGUAGCGGUGAAAUGCUUAGAUAUCACGAAGAACUCCGAUUGCGAAGGCAGCUUACUAACCUGUAACUGACAUUGAUGCUCGAAAGUGUGGGUAUCAAACAGGAUUAGAUACCCUGGUAGUCCACACGGUAAACGAUGAAUACUCGCUGUAGGCGAUAUACAGUCUGCGGCCAAGCGAAAGCAUUAAGUAUUCCACCUGGGGAGUACGCCGGCAACGGUGAAACUCAAAGGAAUUGACGGGGGCCCGCACAAGCGGAGGAACAUGUGGUUUAAUUCGAUGAUACGCGAGGAACCUUACCCGGGCUUAAAUUGCAACCGAAUAUGGCGGAAACGCUAUAGCUAGCAAUAGCGGUUGUGAAGGUGCUGCAUGGUUGUCGUCAGCUCGUGCCGUGAGGUGUCGGCUUAAGUGCCAUAACGAGCGCAACCCUUGCCGAUAGUUACUAACAGGUCAUGCUGAGGACUCUGUCGGGACUGCCAUCGUAAGAUGUGAGGAAGGUGGGGAUGACGUCAAAUCAGCACGGCCCUUACGUCCGGGGCUACACACGUGUUACAAUGGGGGGUACAGAGGGCUGCUACCACGCAAGUGGAUGCCAAUCCCAAAAACCUCUCUCAGUUCGGAUUGAAGUCUGCAACCCGACUUCAUGAAGCUGGAUUCGCUAGUAAUCGCGCAUCAGCCACGGCGCGGUGAAUACGUUCCCGGGCCUCGUACACACCGCCCGUCAAGCCAUGGGAGCCGGGGGUACCUGAAGUGCGUAACCGCAAGGAGCGCCCUAGGGUAAAACUGG